rnacentral:sRNA from 1 species
CACUGUGAGUUCUGUGACGCAGCUCGCA